rnacentral:ncRNA from 1 species
UAAUAAACUAUGACAGGAACAGUAUCUAACAAAAGUCUUUUUAAGCGAGUCGGGGCCGGUGAGAGCCCGAUGGAGAUUUGUUGGAGAACAUCAUCCUUGAGUUCUGGUGCUGAAUGAAAGAGUAAGCAGCAGCGGCUAAGCUUCCGUUACAAGCUCCUUGAGUGGAAAAAAAUUAUUUUUCUAUAAGGGUGGUACCGCGUGAAGCAAUGCUCUCUCGUCCCUUUU